rnacentral:rRNA from 1 species
GUCUAUGGCCAUGCCACCCUGAACAAGCCCAAUCCUGUCUGGUCUCGGAAGUUAAGCAAUGUCAGGCCUGAUUAGUACUUGGAUGGGAAGACCAGGUAUUGUAGGCA